GAAAGAUCUCCCAUGCUCAUGGAUUGGCAGGAUUAAUAUAGUAAAAAUGGCCAUUUUACCAAAAGCAAUCUACAGAUUCAAUGCAAUCCCCAUCAAAAUACCAAUCCAAUUCUUCAAAGAGUUAGACAGAACAAUUUGCAAAUUCAUCUGGAAUAACAAAAAACCCAGGAUAGCUAAAGCUAUCCUCAACAAUAAAAGGACUUCAGGGGGAAUCACUAUCCCUGAACUCAAGCAGUAUUACAGAGCAAUAGUGAUAAAAACUGCAUGGUAUUGGUACAGAGACAGACAGAUAGAAAAAUGGAAUAGAAUUGAAGACCCAGAAAUG
rnacentral:lncRNA from 1 species